rnacentral:tRNA from 1 species
AGGAUUGAAGCUAAUGCAUUUAAUUGUUGAUUAAAAUUUUGCAUAUAAUUUUA